rfam:Triticum urartu cultivar G1812 contig66700, whole genome shotgun sequence.
GUACUACUCCCUCCGUCCGAAAAUACUUGUCAUCAAAAUGAAUAAAAAGAGAUGUAUCUAAAUGUAUUUUAGUUCUAGAUACACCCUUUUUUGUCCAUUUCGAUGACAAGUUUUUUCGGACGGAGGGAGUACAAG